rnacentral:piRNA from 1 species
UGCCAGUUGGAAAGGGUGUGGCUCUACUGGU